AACGCACCUUGCGCUCCUUGGUAUUCCGAGGAGCAUGCCUGUUUGAGUGUCUUGAAGUCAUCAACCCCUCCCGUUUCGUGCGGAGAGGUGAGUUGGAGCUGGGGGCUUGCGGUCGAGAGGCCGCUCCCCUCAAAUGCUUCGGUUGGGCCUGUGGGUCGAACUCGGUUGGGCGUUGUAACAACCUCGCUCUCGUCUGAGAUGUUCCCCUGUCGUCGUGCCCCUCCACGACCGCCUAUCGAGCGGCGGUCAAAACAACUUUGAAAUCUGACCUCAAAUCAGGUAGGACUACCCGCUGAACUUAA
rnacentral:misc_RNA from 2 species